CCUACGGGAGGCAGCAGUGGGGGAUAUUGCACAAUGGGGGAAACCCUGAUGCAGCGACGCCGCGUGGGUGAAGAAGCGCCUCGGCGCGUAAAGCCCUGUCAGCAGGGAAGAAAAUGACGGUACCUGAAGAAGAAGCCACGGCUAACUACGUGCCAGCAGCCGCGGUAAUACGUAGGGGGCAAGCGUGAUCCGGAUUUACUGGGUGUAAAGGGGGCGCAGACGGCGAGGCAAGCCAGGAGUGAAAGGCCGGGGCCCAACCCCGGGACUGCUCUUGGAACUGCGUGGCUAGAGUGCAGGAGGGGCAGGCGGAAUUCCUGGUGUAGCGGUGAAAUGCGUAGAUAUCAGGAGGAACACCGGUGGCGAAGGCGGCCUGCUGGACUGCAACUGACGUUGAGGCCCGAAAGCGUGGGGAGCAAACAGGAUUAGAUACCCUUGUAGUC
rnacentral:rRNA from 1 species